AUUCAAAUGUUGUUGAGAUUUCAUCUUGCAUAUUAUAUAUUAAUUUAAAAAUACAUUUUCAUUGAGAGAAUGUAAUAUUAAAAUGAACAACUUUAUGAUCCAUUUCAUUUUGCUUCUUGCAGUCUGGUUAACAAUCCAUUUUAAUAAGCAAGAGGCUGCAGAACUACUGUCCGCUUAUGUAAAUGAGAAGUUUACAAGCCCUCCAAAAAGAAAUAUUACACACCAAAUGAAAUUACCAAUAGCUCCAGGAAUAUGAAGUGAUGAGAGAGCAUUUUAUUCCAUACAAUCUUCAAAAUAACUGGUAUCCAGAACAAUACAACAUGUGUCAAGAUGACUCAUGAAAGUCUCUAAUAGAAUGGAGAAGAAGCUUGAAAAUGAAUGCAGCAGCAUGGUGUAAAAUUGUGCACUAUGAGGUAUUAACACCCUUCUGGAAAAUACUAUGAAUCAUGUUUCAAACUAGUCAUUCUCAAAUGUUAUCCAUAUCUUCCCCUUAGAGCUAUCAUGACGUCCUCUGUCCCUCAUUUGCCCUCACUGUCCCUCGACCAGAUGCAAUCUAUCUUCCUAGAAUUACAGCACAUUCAAAGAUAUAAGGUGUGUGAAGAAGAGUUCCCAGAUACAUUUCAAAAAGAAAUCUGUGAUCUUCUCUGAAGUGGAGCCUUCUCAGGCAGGGCUGUCCAAUUUUUAAGAAACAGAGACCCAAUCAAAUCAGAAGAUCAAAUAAAGGUGGGAGGAUAUUGUAAGAUACAGAGCACAUGGGAUAUACAAGGAUUGGAAUGACAAUAACUAGAUCUUAUUGAAAUGGGUCCAGUGUAGCAAGUAAGCUACAUCACUCUCUUGAACAGGACAGCUUAUUCUGAUUGUGAUACCAGAUGGGCAGAUGAACGUUUAUUAAUAUUACGUAUUGUCCAGAUCAAAAUGCUGUAUUCAGAGCAGCUUGGUGGGUCUAGUUUGACCACCGGUAUAAUGUGAAGAAACCUGGAUUCCUGGUUCAGACCACCUCCUUACUAGACAUAAAAUUUUUAGCAAGCCACUAAUUAUCUCUGUGACUUUCUUCACCUAGAGAGAGCAAAAUGGAUAGAAGACCAAAUGGGCUGACACUUACUAUAAUCCUGGGACAAAAACACAUUAAGAGGAAGAUGGAUCAAUAGUUCUCAAAGGAAAAAGAUGGCAGCAACCUAUAAGAAGAUCUGAGCUUCUAGGAAUGAUGGGCUAUUUUUUCUAUUUUUCAGAGACUUUUAUAGCUUAUAAAUACUUAUCAGAAGAAAUUAGUUCCACAGAAUGACAGUGAAGUUGUGAUCACAUCCCACCAAAUUGUAAUUUUAUAUCCCCUUCCUUCACCAAGGUUAAAUUGCACCUUCCCACGCUACAAUGUUUUCCAUGCACUUUGCAACUUAAAUAAUAAAUGAUGCAUGAUUUAAGAUGACAAUUAUUCUUUGAAUACAAAUCUCAAGAAUAAUGGUGAUCAUUAUUCUCAAGAACAAGCAUAGCAGAGCAUACCAAGAGAGCAGUGUUCUUUUCUUGCUAUUUUUCUUCUUGCUGAUUUUUUUGUAUUUUGUAUAUUUUUUUCUGAAUCACAACUUCAUUCUUUAAUUUGUAACCUUCAAGAACCACCUAAAGUCAUUAAACCUUUAAAGAGCCAUGAUAA
rnacentral:lncRNA from 1 species